CGCCCCACGUCCUCGCGUCGUGCGUCCCCAGGCCCCAGCCCUGCCGCACAAACCCUAGGCUCCCAAGCCCACAACGUCGCACUCCUCCCUCCUCCCUCCUCAGCCCCCGCCGCUAUUCUGCCUCCCUCCUCUCUGUCGUAUGACCACGUCGCUGGGAGGAAGCGGCCGUUCGUGGCUCCAUACUGCUGUCUAAGUGCCACGCAAGAGGUCAGGGGCUGCCACCACCAUGAACCAGGCCAAAGGGGACGCCCGUUGACGAGCCUCCAGGCAUGAAGCUGACGGCGAGCAUGCCGUUUAUCCGUCAACAAGCCGCCAGGAGGACCUACCGGCCGGUCCCGUGUCGUCGAGCAAGGGCUGCCGGUUGCGUCGUCGUGGGAGGAGGCUCGCCAAGGAGCAGCGGGGAGGAGAUGAGGACACGCCCCCGGACUCCCUAUUUCCUUCUGGUCGUACCUUCCCUAAGCCGUCUCUCUCUAUUGGGCAGCUUCCAUAUGGGAUCUGUACUAGGAAAAGGAGAACCUAUGCGGGGAUGCGGGGUGACGACGAGCGCCGGUGAGCUGGCUGGACAGGUGCCGGGCCCAUGGGCGCGGUUGGGGAGCUGCGCACACAUCCAUCAACGGCGAGCACAUCCAAGGCCAGCAUGUCGAGAUGCGAAUGCGUAUGCCACAAGCUGUGCCAACUUCAAAGGUCAAAAACCCCUUUCUGGGGCGAUCCGGGAGAGGCAUUGCUGAUUGAGACGGGAAAGGGGGAGGAUAUGAUGACCUAAGGGCAUGGAACAACAAUGCUUAAAGCGUACUGGAGGCUGAGUAUGUUGUCUAUGCAAUGGUAUGAGCUUGGUAAAGGAAGCUCAUGGCAGCUACUUCAUUAUUGGGAGGCCUUUACUUUCUCCUUUUUCACGUCUAUACAUAGACAUACAUUCUGUUAUGACAGAAAAAUGGUGUCUGCAUUUACCCAAACAAACUGUGACUGCAUUUGCUUCAGUCAUCACUGAAUUACUAGAGAAAAAUGGUGUCUGCAUUUACCCAAGAAACUUUGAAGUACAUUAUAUUUCUUAGUUUGUGAAAAUAAACUAUUGCUGCACUUAUCACCAUCGUCAUUUCAUAUGUGUGUGGAUAACUAGAUUUGGCAACUUCUCCAAUUAUAUGUGAUGAAAUAUUUUACCUUCGUCAAUAUGCUCCGGUUCCUUCUUAAUUAGCUCCUAUGUUUCUUGUCUUUUAUCUGUACAACUUUUAGCCACACCUUCAGCAUUUUAUGUAUAUAAUUCCCACUUUCAUUGCCCUUGCAUGUGCAAUUUACUUUGGCAAGGCCAGAGUCAACACGAUAGUGGUAGCCCAUUGCUACAUGGGAGCAAUUUAUCUCUAAGUAUGUCAUCUUUGCAAAUUAGAUACUCUAAUAUGCAUUUGCUUGGUUGUAUUUUGCUGACAUAUCAUGUAAUUUCUCGCCAAACGCCCAAACGUAAUACCAGGUAAUUUUAAAUAACUGUGAGGUUGCAUGGUUUCAUAAUAUAUAAAAAGUACAUUCAAGUUACAGUAGGUGUCUAAUUCUGGACUCUGAUCACAAGUACUUAAUAUAAACACUUUCGCCUAUAUGCUGCAGAAAGAGGCCAAUAAGUUAUCCGAGUGCACUGAUGAUAGUUUUUUCUUUCCAGAACACAUUGAAUUGUUGUUACAGAAGUGUGGUAUCUCACAACCUUCUCCCAGUUAGGGCUUUAUAUCGUAUUCUGUAAAGUAUAAUGUUGGUUUCAGAAUCAUCUUCCCAUCCCUCCACGAGUGAUUUGGAUGGUCAGGAAAUCAUCGGUUGCUCUAAUGCGGGAGGAAGCAAGUUAGUUGAAAUGCCUUUCAUUUUUCUGAUAACUUCGUAUCAGUAAAAGGCAUCCAAUAUCCCACGAAUACCCAUGUACUGACAGUGGCUUAGUACAUAUUUUAGAGUGUAGAUUUUAGGAACGGAGGGAGUACAUAAGUAUUUAGAGAUUCAUUUCCUUUCAUUUGAGUGCGUACUUUUGAUCAUAGGAAAAUAAAAAUGAUAGAAGGUACUCCCUCCGUCCCAUAAUAAUAUAAGACAUUUUUGAAAGCUAUUGUCAUGCAAGAUUGUAUCGUAUAUGAAGUCAUUCUGGAGUUAUCGUUCUAGAUUAAUAUUUAUCUUUGUUGUUCUGCUUAGCUAAACCAUCCACUAAUUGUUUUAUCAUAUUUGUGCAGUUCUAGAACUGGCUAAAGAAUGUACCUUUCAUUUUCUUAUAGUCUAUUGCUUGGCGCUGCAAGUUUGGUUUUCCUUUAGAAUGACAGACAAGGCAGAAGAGACGUGUGGCUUCUUUAGCAGUACAUGUUGUAUUUGCAUCUUUAACACCAUCUCUUUCCAUAAAUAUUGAGAUGCUUCGGGGUCAAAAGCACUAAAGAUUAUUUUGAUUUUGGUUUCCAUCUUUAUACAGAAUUAUACCAGCGGCUGUCCUAUAAUUACUAUCCCGCUUAGGAUGACCUACAUCUCUUGUCGGGCCUUCCGGCCUUAUGUUCCAUCAUCUUUUUUCUGUCCUACAUGGUGAGGAGUUUGGAUAGUCUUGUUCCAGCAGGGCUCGUACAGCUAAUCAAUCACACAAGAACUUGAAUUGAUGGUAUAUAUAGUAUAGUAUGGUUACUGUUGUCAUGACCUGCCGUGUUUUAUUGGUGUGUAGAAAUGAUUUUUGCGUGGAAAUUUCUCUCUGGACAUUCAGGAGCACAUGUGUACUUUAAUUUGGCUACAAUGAGACUUUGUACUAUCAAAUUAAAAUGUGUAUGUACAUCUCAUUUUAGACAACAAGGCACCAUUUUUUAUUAAGGGGGUUAAAUUUGUUGUUAUAG
rnacentral:rRNA from 1 species